UGUGGGGAGGGCACCAUUCUACAGCUGGCUCCAAUCAAGACACUCAGGCUGGUAAAUAACUUUAAGGUGCGUCUGGGGAAAAGAGCAUUCAGGCAGAGGAACAGCAAAAAGAAAUUUUCAAGGAAGUCAGCUGUCAUGUUAUAAGAAACCCUACUGAGAGGUCCACACGGGCAGAAACUGAGGCUUCCCACCAGUAGCCAGCAGAGUUUGCCCGCCAUGUGAGUGUGCCAUCUUGAAAGUGGAUCCUCCAGUCUCAGUCAAGCCUUCACACGAUUGCAGCCCCAGCCAACAUCUUAACUGCAGCCUUAUAAAAGAUCCGGAAUGAGAACUAACAAGCUAAGACACUUCUGAAUUCUUGAGCCCCAGAUAUUGUGAAAUCAUUCAUGUUUUAUUAUUUAAGCCACUAAGUUUUGGGGGUAAUUUGUUAUGCAGCAAUAGACAACUGUUAUAGAAUGAGAAAAGAUAUCACAAUAAACCAUUUAUUUCUUAAAAAGCUGACAAAUAUCACAGACAUGACACAAAUCCAGGAAAAUAACAUAAUACUCUUCUUUAAUUAACUGUCUUGUACACUGCCGUACUAUCUUUUUUCCUAUAGUUUUUGUGUGCAAACUCUUUGAGGAGUUAAUCUUCUCUAGCAUGGUUGAUCAAAUUUUUUAUUCCUGAUAGCUUUUAU
rnacentral:lncRNA from 1 species